AUGAGAAUUCACAAUAGAAUAAAAAAUGGCUAUUGACAGUUGAAAAGAAAAAGGAAUGAAAAUUGAAAAUGGCUCAGGAAAAUGGUGUUUCGUGGAAAAUGAGCGUCUGGCGGGAUUCACUGAGAAGAGGGGUAUAAAAGGCUGCGAGCAUAAGAAAAGCCAAAGUUAAGAAUAAGACGUUACCGGUGAAACUUAGCUAGAGAGCAGUGAAGAAGUGGAAAAAUUUAAUUUGUGUGUUGCGAUUUUUUUAUUGUGAAUAUUCCGGUGGUGUAUCAAGCUUUUUUGGAAGCACCGAAAAUUGUCCGGUUUUGGUCAGCACAACGGCGGGAAAUUGCCUUUUCUUUUUGGUAACGCAAGGUAGUGGCAAGUUGUCCACAGGAGAAAAAAGCCAAAAAAAGUUACAUUGAGGGUGUGGAGAUUUGAAUUGUAAACUGGCCAGCUGCAACUUUGAGCUUUUUGCUGUGCCUGUUAUUGAUCCCGCCCAGAACGCCGGCAUUGUAAAAGGACCAGUCAACAAGUCCAGCUUCAUUUCAGGGUUUGCCUGGCGUUCAAAAUCUGUUUCCUCCGGAAAGAAGCGUAAACUGGAAGAAGAGAUAAGAAGAAUUAAUCAAUAACGUUAUAAAUCACUGCUCAG